GGGGUAAAAUCCGUAGAUAUCACCAAGAAUACCCAUUGCGAAGGCGAUCUGCUGGAACUCAACUGACGCUAAGGCGCGAAAGCGUGGGGAGCAAACAGGAUUAGAUACCCUGGUAGUCCACGCCCUAAACGAUGUACACUAGUUGUUGGGAUGCUAGUCAUCUCAGUAAUGCAGCUAACGCAUUAAGUGUACCGCCUGGGGAGUACGGUCGCAAGAUUAAAACUCAAAGGAAUAGACGGGGACCCGCACAAGCGGUGGAGCAUGUGGUUUAAUUCGAAGAUACGCGAAGAACCUUACCUGGGCUUGAUAUCCUAAGAACCUUAUAGAGAUAUGAGGGUGCUAGCUUGCUAGAACUUAGAGACAGGUGCUGCACGGCUGUCGUCAGCUCGUGUCGUGAGAUGUUGGGUUAAGUCCCGCAACGAGCGCAACCCACGUAUUUAGUUGCUAACGGUUCGGCCGAGCACUCUAAAUAGACUGCCUUCGUAAGGAGGAGGAAGGUGUGGACGACGUCAAGUCAUCAUGGCCCUUAUGCCCAGGGCGACACACGUGCUACAAUGGCAUAUACAAUGAGACGCAAUACCGCGAGGUGGAGCAAAUCUAUAAAAUAUGUCCCAGUUCGGAUUGUUCUCUGCAACUCGAGAGCAUGAAGCCGGAAUCGCUAGUAAUCGUAGAUCAGCCAUGCUACGGUGAAUACGUUCCCGGGUCUUGUACUCACCGCCCGUCACACCAUGGGAGUUGAUUUCACUCGAAGCCGGAAUACUAAACUAGUUACCGUCCACAGUGGAAUCAGCGACUGGGGUGAAGUCGUAACAAGGUAACCGUAGGAGAACCUGCGGUUG
rnacentral:rRNA from 1 species